GGAGUAAAAAGAAAAUAUAAAAGCUUCUAACUUUUUAACAGCGGUUAAAUUCCGUUAUUACUCCG
rnacentral:tRNA from 1 species